rnacentral:rRNA from 1 species
GUGCCAGCAGCCGCGGUAAUACAGAGGGUGCAAGCGUUAAUCGGAAUUACUGGGCGUAAAGCGAGCGUAGGUGGCUUGAUAAGUCAGAUGUGAAAGCCCCGGGCUUAACCUGGGAACGGCAUCUGAUACUGUUAGGCUAGAGUAGGUGAGAGGAAGGUAGAAUUCCAGGUGUAGCGGUGAAAUGCGUAGAGAUCUGGAGGAAUACCGAUGGCGAAGGCAGCCUUCUGGCAUCAUACUGACACUGAGGUUCGAAAGCGUGGGUAGCAAACAGGAUUAGAUACCCUGGUAGUCCACGCCGUAAACGAUGUCUACUAGUCGUUGGGUCCCUUGAGGACUUAGUGACGCAGCUAACGCAAUAAGUAGACCGCCUGGGGAGUACGGCCGCAAGGUUAAAACUCAAAUGAAUUGACGGGGGCCCGCACAAGCGGUGGAGCAUGUGGUUUAAUUCGAUGCAACGCGAAGAACCUUACCUGGUCUUGACAUAUCUAGAAUCCUGCAGAGAUGCGGGAGUGCCUUCGGGAAUUAGAAUACAGGUGCUGCAUGGCUGUCGUCAGCUCGUGUCGUGAGAUGUUGGGUUAAGUCCCGCAACGAGCGCAACCCUUGUCCUUAGUUACCAGCGGUUUGGCCGGGAACUCUAAGGAUACUGCCAGUGACAAACUGGAGGAAGGCGGGGACGACGUCAAGUCAUCAUGGCCCUUACGACCAGGGCUACACACGUGCUACAAUGGUAGGUACAGAGGGCAGCUACACAGCGAUGUGAUGCGAAUCUCAAAAAGCCUAUCGUAGUCCAGAUUGGAGUCUGCAACUCGACUCCAUGAAGUAGGAAUCGCUAGUAAUCGCGGAUCAGAAUGCCGCGGUGAAUACGUUCCCGGGCCUUGUACACACCGCCCGUCACACCAUGGGAGUUGAUUGCACCAGAAGUGGGUAGCCUAACCUUUUAGGAUGGCGCUCACCACGGUGUGGUUGAUGACUGGGGUGAAGUCGUAACAAGGUAA